rnacentral:rRNA from 1 species
AAUGAACGUUGGCGGCGUGGAUUAGGCAUGCAAGUCGAGCGCGAAGUCUCCUUCGGGAGGCGGAAAGCGGCGAAAGGGAGAGUAAUGUGUGGAUUAUCUACCCCCAGGCCCGGGAUAGCUGCGGGAAACUGCAGGUAAUACCGGAUAACAUCUCCGGAUCAAAGGUGUGAUUCCGCCUGAGGAUGAGUCCACAUCCUAUUAGCUAGUUGGUGGGGUAAUGGCCUACCAAGGCAACGAUGGGUACCGGGUGUGAGAGCACGACCCGGCUCACUGGGACUGAGACACUGCCCAGACACCUACGGGAGGCAG